rnacentral:rRNA from 1 species
UACGUAGGGUGCGAGCGUUAUCCGGAUUUAUUGGGUUUAAAGGGUGCGCAGGUUGUUUGAUAAGUCAGUGGUGAAAGUCUGUCGCUUAACGGUAGGAUUGCCAUUGAUACUGUUGGACUUGAAUAUGGAUGAGGUAGGCGGAAUGUGUAGUGUAGCGGUGAAAUGCAUAGAUAUUACACAGAACACCGAUUGCGAAGGCAGCUUACUAAUCCAUCAUUGACGCUGAGGCACGAAAGCGUGGGGAUCAAACAGGAUUA